UACGUAGGGAGCAAGCGUUGUCCGGAAUCAUUGGGCGUAAAGCGCGCGUAGGCGGCCCCGUAAGUCCGCUGUGAAAGUCAAAGGCUCAACCUUUGAAAGCCGGUGGAUACUGUGGGGCUAGAGUACGGAAGAGGCGAGUGGAAUUCCUGGUGUAGCGGUGGAAUGCGCAGAUAUCAGGAGGAACACCUAUAGCGAAGGCAGCUCGCUGGGACGUCACUGACGCUGAGGCGCGAAAGCGUGGGGAGCGAACAGG
rnacentral:rRNA from 1 species